rnacentral:rRNA from 1 species
UAAGGCUGAGCUGUGAUGGGGAGAAGACAUUGUGUCUUCGAGUCGUUGAUUUCACACUGCCGAGAAAAGCCUCUAGAUAGAAAAUAGGUGCCCGUACCGCAAACCGACACAGGUAGUCAAGAUGAGAAUUCUAAGGUGAGCGAGCGAACUCUCGUUAAGGAACUCGGCAAAAUGACCCCGUAACUUCGGGAGAAGGGGUGCUCUUUAGGGUUAACGCCCAGAAGAGCCGCAGUGAAUAGGCCCAAGCGACUGUUUAUCAAAAACACAGGUCUCUGCUAAACCGUAAGGUGAUGUAUAGGGGCUGACGCCUGCCCGGUGCUGGAAGGUUAAGAGGAGUGGUUAGCUUCUGCGAAGCUACGAAUCGAAGCCCCAGUAAACGGCGGCCGUAACUAUAACGGUCCUAAGGUAGCGAAAUUCCUUGUCGGGUAAGUUCCGACCCGCACGAAAGGCGUAACGAUUUGGGCACUGUCUCAACGAGAGACUCGGUGAAAUCAUAGUACCUGUGAAGAUGCAGGUUACCCGCGACAGGACGGAAAGACCCCGUGGAGCUUUACUGUAGCCUGAUAUUGAAAUUCGGCACAGCUUGUACAGGAUAGGUAGGAGCCUUUGAAACGUGAGCGCUAGCUUACGUGGAGGCGCUGGUGGGAUACUACCCUA